UCCUCGAGAGCUAUUAACUUUUACUCUUAAAGUUACUAUCAAAGUUAAUAGUUUCAAAUUAUUAAGAGUAAAAGCUAUCCUCGUCAACUUUGAGUGUAGGUAUUAGCAAAUCCUGGCUACUAUUAUCUUCUUCUUCUUCUUCUUUAUGGCGGGCUCGUUGCUAAGGACGCCUCCGUGCAAAACGUAAACAUCCGACAUGAAUUAAGUAUAUAUUUCAAAAGAAAAAAAAAGAAAAGAUGUAUAAAUGUACAACAGAAACAUAAUAAAUGGCAAACACAAGAAAAUACUGAGUUUUGUGGCAGAUAGAAGCAGCCUCAAAGGCUGUUUUUACUCCGUCACUCGUCAAUGCCCGUAUCUCCCCGCCUGCGUCACGACUUGCUCUGCUGAAAUUACCGCACCAUAACCACGUCAUCUGCCCCAAUGAUCUACGGGCCGGAGAACCAGCGCAGAAAAGGAGUAAGUUUAAUUGGUCGCCAGAUGAAACGGUCUUCUUACAUCAAAUUCAAGAAAAAAUACGUAUAAUCAGAGGGUGUUAUGGGAAGAGUACCGUAUCACCCCUGAGGAUAAGAAGAGAGCGUGGACUGAAGUGGCAGAAGCUGUAACAAGUGCCUUCCCUGGGAGUGGACCCCGUACACAGGAUGACUGUGAGAGGCGUUGGUACAACGUACAACAAAAAUCAAAGCCUUGCAUUGCCAAGUGCAAGAAUGAGCAGCGGCAGACUGAUACACACUUUAUCAGUAUUGCUAGAGACCAUCCCAGCACAUUGUUCAUUACUUGUGGAAAAGAUACCAUUAGCUGCUCCAGCAACAGCCACUGCUUCAAUAUCUGCUGGCCCUAUGACACCAGCCACUGCUUCAUCAUCUGCUGGCCCUUUGACACCAGCCACUGUUUCAUCAUCUGCUGGCCCUAUGACACCAGCCACUGCUUCAUCAUCUGCUGGCCCAAUGACACCUGCCACUGCAAGGGAUGACAAUGAAGCUGCUCCACCAGUCACCACCUACUUCAUCGGAGUUAAGAGAUGCCUUUCAUAGGGCAGCAGCAUAAUUUUUUGAUGCUGGGGCUGAAUAUUACUGCCUCAAGGCUAUGAUUUUGUCACUUUUUUUAUUUUUAUUACUGAGGAGGUUAGGGUGGAAGGGGUGAAAAAUAAUUUGUGCUGUUUUUCGACAGAAAUGAUUAGCAAAUUCAUUCAAAGCACAAAAUUUACCGGAAAAAAAAAUUGUGUGCCAUUGUGAGUGGGUUCACUUGAGAUUGGGCUCCAAUACGCCUCCGUGGUCUAGUGGUCAGCAUGCCUGGCUUCUACGCGGGCCCGGGUUCGAAUCCCGACCUGGGCAGUCGGCGUGCAUCUCACCCAGCUGAUCAUCCUCCCUCUCGGGCUGGUCGAUAAAUGACUACCUGGGGAAACUGUGGUAGCCCGGAUGUCACACUGGCCCUGUGUCCCGGGGUAAUGGGCUCCCUCUCACUACAGGCUCAAGGCCCAAUGUUACGGAGAUGAGCACCGAGGCCACGCGCUGCUAUAGCGUAUGCCCCAACUUUACCUUUACCUUUAUUGGCUCGACUGACAGACAUGGCUUUGUAUGUCGAAGGUCACUGGUUCAAUCUCCACAGCCAGCACUCUCUAACUUGGAUUUUUCUGAGUUCCCUAGAGCCUAGAUUAAUUUCUCGGUGUUAAAUGAGGAGAUUUGCACCGGCACCCAGUCAUGGGUGUUACAAGGUGCGCUGUUACAAUCAGGGGCGUCAUUUGGCCUUCAAAAGUGGGAGGGACAUUAGG